rnacentral:lncRNA from 1 species
CCAGCGCAGAACUGCAUAAAGAAAGAGGAGCGCUCGGCCAUGCCGCACAGGUCCGGGAGGUUCGCGUUAAUGUACCCUGUUUUUGAGCCCAAGGAACAAGUAUUUAGUCAUGAUUGCCACUCGUUAUAGGCUCUGUUAACAGUGUAAAGAAAGUUGGAAGUUCUCUCCUGAGAAGAAGUAACUUCAAUGCGGAAGGACCCGGGCUUCUCAUGUUUCUCUUUGUAUCCCGACCGCCGGGAACUGCCUUACCUGCAGCUACAAAGUCCUGCAAACCCAGAUCUUGUGAACUGUUUUCACAUUUCCCCAUGGAUGCCUAGCAAGGGACUGGGACUGCCUGAUCCGCUUUGGUCAAGAGCACGUGGGUGGCCUGUGUGCAGGCUUAUCAUCAAUAAUUGCAGGACUUGGUGGAGUAUGGUUGAACAGGUGCUCAGACUGCAUGCGUGUCUAGCGAGGCCAUCCUGAAGCUGCAUGGGAGUUGUAAAAAAGUUACCAACAAGUUUUUAGUUAUUUGAAUAGGUUUUUGAAUAGAUUUGGAAUGUGG